rnacentral:rRNA from 1 species
CGUUCCCGGGCCUUGUACACACCGCCCGUCACACCACGAGAGUUUGUAACACCCGAAGUCGGUGGGGUAACCUUUUAGGAGCCAGCCGCCUAAGGUGGGACAGAUGAUUGGGGUG